AUACGGAGGGCGCAAGCGUUGUUCGGAAUCAUUGGGCGUAAAGCGGGUGCAGGCGGUGAAGUAAGUCGGAUGUGAAAUCCCGGGGCCCAACCCCGGAACUGCAUUCGAAACUGCUCCACUAGAGUCCCGGAGAGGAAGGCGGAAUUCCCGGUGUAGAGGUGAAAUUCGUAGAUAUCGGGAGGAACACCAGUGGCGAAGGCGGCCUUCUGGACGGUGACUGACGCUGAGGUGCGAAAGCGUGGGGAGCAAACAGGAUUAGAUACCCCAGUAGUCC
rnacentral:rRNA from 1 species